CGGCUGCAGGAGCUGUGCCAGAAG
rnacentral:miRNA from 1 species